GAGAAGACUUUAGAUAUGAUCCAGAGUACCACGGGACACGUGAAACACUGUGGGAAGCAGGAGGGACCACCCUCCAAGGCUAAAUACUACCUAGUGACCGAUAGCGUAUAGUACCGUGAGGGAAAGGUGAAAAGAACCCCGGGAGGGGAGUGAAAUAGAACCUGAAACCCUGCACUUACAAGCUGUGGAAGCACAUUUCUUGUGUGACCGCGUACUUUUUGUAGAACGGGCCAACGAGUUACGUUAAGUAGCAAGGUUAAGCACUUAAGGUG
rnacentral:rRNA from 1 species